rnacentral:misc_RNA from 1 species
GUAGAGUGAGUAGAUCCGCAAACUAUAUCUGGAAAAUAUGCCUUGGUAGCUUCUGGCAAAAAUACUUGGCAACUCUGGAAGUUAAAACGAGCCACGGUAUUAUCCCAACCAUAAUUUGACCGGUCACGGCUUCUCCAGCUCUCCAGGACAAAAAUUUCCCAAAAGGCUGCAAAAUAUGUUUAGGAACUCUGGCAACAGGAAUACCCCAAAAAAG